GACAAAGACUUUUCUUUCUUCCCACCACUUUGUCCGUAUGCACACAGUAUUUCAAUCCAAAUUCGCCAUUUUCGUUCGAUUGGGUUGGACUGAUUUUAAAAAGGCCCAAUCUUUUUAUAAUCAAUUGGGCUUUUAACUACUUUGAUGCCCCAAUUCAAUGAUCACUCCAACAUCCGCCGCCUGGGGUGUCGCCGCCGUAAUCCCUCGCCAAUCGGCGUUUUCCGAGAGGGAAGCGCGCGACUUCAGCAGUCGAGGAACAGGUAAUAAGGGACUGGUUUUCUGAAAAAUCCGACGUAUUCAGUUUUGGCGUGAUCGUCUUGGAAAUCCUGAGCGGGAGAAGGAACACGAGCUUCUAUAUUUCGGAACUAUCGUUAGGCCUUCUGGGAUGUAAUCUGCCGCGAUCAGGCCGAGCAUCUCGACUGUUCUUUCGAUGCUGACAAGCGAAAUCGUCGACCUGCCCGAGCAUCCGGGUUUCACCGAUAGAAUCAGCUGUUCCGAUUCUAUUUCAUCGGGGCCCCGAUUCGCGAAUAAGGUUGCUCUCACCGUCCUCGAGGGACGAUUAUUCGAAACUGGAACCGUCGGAAUCGAAACUGAUCGAUGCUUACAGCAACAAGACAACAUAAAAACGUUUGUAAUUAAUGUAAGAAGAUUGUGUUCAUAUGUAAUGUAACUAACAUCAAUUUGUUGUGUUAGGAAAUUAAGGAACGAGUGAUGCCAAAAAAGACUCGUGACGAACUGAGGUGUGUAUGUAACAAAUUGGGUCGUCUCAUCAAUUAUCUUCUAUUAAUUUAUUUCCAAUCUGUAUGAA